rnacentral:rRNA from 1 species
CGCGUGAGGGAUGACGGCCUUCGGGUUGUAAACCUCUUUCAGCAGGGAAGAAGCGAAAGUGACGGUACCUGCAGAAGAAGCGCCGGCUAACUACGUGCCAGCAGCCGCGGUAAUACGUAGGGCGCAAGCGUUGUCCGGAAUUAUUGGGCGUAAAGAGCUCGUAGGCGGUUUGUCGCGUCUGCUGUGAAAGCCCGGGGCUCAACCCCGGGUCUGCAGUGGGUACGGGCAGACUAGAGUGCAGUAGGGGAGACUGGAAUUCCUGGUGUAGCGGUGAAAUGCGCAGAUAUCAGGAGGAACACCGAUGGCGAAGGCAGGUCUCUGGGCUGUAACUGACGCUGAGGAGCGAAAGCAUGGGGAGCGAACAGGAUUAGAUACCCUGGUAGUCCAUGCCGUAAACGUUGGGCACUAGGUGUGGGGGACAUUCCACGUUUUCCGCGCCGUAGCUAACGCAUUAAGUGCCCC